UACGUAGGGCGCAAGCGUUGUCCGGAAUUAUUGGGCGUAAAGAGCUCGUAGGCGGUCUGUCGCGUCGGCUGUGAAAACCCGGAGCUCAACUCCGGGCCUGCAGUCGAUACGGGCAGACUGGAGUUCGGCAGGGGAGACUGGAAUUCCUGGUGUAACGGUGAAAUGCGCAGAUAUCAGGAAGAACACCAAUGGCGAAGGCAGCUCUCUGGGACGGUACUGACGCUGAGACGCGAAAGCGUGGGGAGCGAACAGG
rnacentral:rRNA from 1 species